rnacentral:rRNA from 1 species
UUGUACCUACGGGAGGCAGCAGUGAGGAAUAUUGGUCAAUGGGCGAGAGCCUGAACCAGCCAAGUCGCGUGAAGGAUGAAGGAUCUAUGGUUUGUAAACUUCUUUUAUAUGGGAAUAAAGUGAGGAACGUGUUCCUUUUUGUAUGUACCAUAUGAAUAAGCAUCGGCUAACUCCGUGCCAGCAGCCGCGGUAAUACGGAGGAUGCGAGCGUUAUCCGGAUUUAUUGGGUUUAAAGGGUGCGUAGGCGGUUUGUCAAGUCAGCGGUAAAAAUUCCGGGCUCAACCCGGUCCCGCCGUUGAAACUGG